rnacentral:lncRNA from 1 species
UUAAAAUUUAAAAUUGAAAUUUUAAUAUUUGAAAUUUAAUAUUUGAAUUUUUUAAUUCAAUUUAUAAUUUAAUAUUUAAAAUAUUGAAAUUUGAAAUAUAAAAGUUAAAACUUAAAAUUUAAAAAUUUAAUAUUUUAUCUUAAUUACUAAAACUAAAUUUUAAAAUAUUCAAAAUUUAAGAUUUAAAAUUUUUAAAUUCAAUUUAUAAUUUAAUAUUUAAAAUAUUGCAAUUUGAAAUUUAAAAUUUAAAGCUUAAAAUUUAAAUAUUUUAUAUUUUAUCUUAAUUACUAAAACUAAUUUUUUUCAAUUUUACAUUUUUAAACUUUAAAUUUCAGUUCCUAAAUUUUAAAUUUUACAUUCUAUAUUCAAAUUUUAAAAUUUAAAAUUUAAAAUAUAAAAUCUAAUAUUUGAAAUCUAAAAUUAUAAAUUUGAUAUUUGAUAUUUAAAAUCUAUGUCUGAAAGAUGUUUAUUUGAAAUUCAUCAAUUUAGAAUUUUAAAUCUAAAUGAUAGUUUAAAAUUCUACUAUAAAAUAAAAUUUUAAAUUUAAAUUUUAAAUCGAAAAUCAAACUGAGAUUUUAAGUUGCCGAUGUUGAUCCACCGCGAAGUGCGGGCCCUAAACUAGUUAAUUACGAAGACGUUGUGCAUUCUUUUUAAACAUAGUAUAUAGUUAGUUAAAUCAGAUUUAACAAAAAAAUCAGUUCUGAUAUAAUACGAAUAAAAUUCACAUCCUAGUUUUUUAAUGCAAUGAAAAAUAUUAUUUAUAACUAAGUUAUAUGUUCAUCAAUUAAAAAUUUGGGAUUAAAAAUUUAGCUAUUAAAUUAAACUUUUUUCUCUAAAUUUAUGCUACUAAUAUAAAU